rfam:Aedes aegypti strain Liverpool supercont1.192 genomic scaffold, whole genome shotgun sequence.
UGCCCAGCAACUCCUAUCCCAACAUCCUCGUGGUACUGACCAGGGUACGAGUAACCUUAAGGAAGAUCUGGUAAUCAACCCUAGUGGGAACUUUGGUCGUAUGCUGACAGGGAAAG